AUUGAACGCUGGCGGCAGGCCUAACACAUGCAAGUCGAGCGGCAGCGGGAAAGUAGCUUGCUACUUUUGCCGGCGAGCGGCGGACGGGUGAGUAAUACCUGGGAAAUUGCCCAGUCGAGGGGGAUAACAGUUGGAAACGACUGCUAAUACCGCAUACGCCCUACGGGGGAAAGCAGGGGACCUUCGGGCCUUGCGCGAUUGGAUAUGCCCAGGUGGUGAUUAGCUAGUUGGUGAGGUAAUGGCUCACCAAGGCGACGAUCCCUAGCUGGUCUGGGAGAAUGAUCAGCCACACUGGAACUGAGACACGGUCCAGACUCCUACGGGAGGCAGCAGUGAGGAAUAUUGCACAAUGGGGGAAACCCUGAUGCAGCCAUGCCGCGUGUGUGAAGAAGGCCUUCGGGUUGUAAAGCACUUUCAGCGAGGAGGAAAGGUUGAUGCCUAAUACGUAUCAACUGUGACGUUACUCGCAGAAGAAGCACCGGCUAACUCCGUGCCAGCCGCCGCCGUAAAAC
rnacentral:rRNA from 1 species